AAAAUUUCCAACUGGUUUGUCUACUGAUCUAUAUGUUAUUUCCAUUAUUGCCAUUUUAGAUUUAUUUUUAAUGUUAAAAAAACAAACUGUAGAAAUGUUGCGCUAUUAUUAUUUGUCCUUGGGACAAUGCCAUCACCCUUUGGUGCUUACUAACAUCUUUUCCAAACCACGAGCAAAAGCCCUGGCCCUAACACUCCAUGAAAAUUUCAUCACCACAAUUCCAAAUCAAAUAAUCUCCUGUCCUAAGCUGUAAAAGCAUAACUGCCUAUUCCUGUAAAAACUGUAAUUUUCAACACAUUUGCUCAUCAUAUAUAUUAAUGGCCUAUGUAUUUAUUCAUCCUGCUGCAAUUCCAUCAAUCAGAAAAAGAUAAAACCCCAAAUACUGACAAAGACAACACUGUAUGCUCCUCAAAUGAGCAUUCAAGAGCGUUCCUCCAUGGGCAUGUUAGAAAAUUUAACAAACGAUAUAGAAACAUCAUUCCUUUUGAGAAGUGAAAAAUGAAUGGCAGGGUAAAUGGCUCCAUAUCAUGGCAUUCUAACUUGCUACCACAGUCAUUUCUUUACAUCCACUAGCAAUGGUGACCAAAACCAAUUUCAUUUCUAACAUCCUUACCCAGCAAUCUGAACAUGUAGUAUGCAAUCGAAUUCGUGUAGUAUACUACACGAAUAUUUACGUGUAGUAAAUAACACCUUAAACUUUUAGAGUCCCUUUAAAAAAGUAAAAAUAAAAUAACAUUCAGUAAAAC
rnacentral:lncRNA from 1 species